rnacentral:lncRNA from 1 species
GAAAUUAUUCUCUGCGCUGGGUCGGGGAACAUGAGCGUCGGGAUCGCUAAGAGGCCGUGCUCGGUGGGCUCGCGCCGAGGCAGAAGAAACACCGUCCUCGUUGACGACGACGUCCUUGGCUCCAGCAGUCCCGUCAUCGGCAAAGAAACACAACCAAUUCCAAAUGUAAAAGAAAAAAAAUGACGGAAACGAAUGAAAGAAAGAAACAAAGGACGACAGAGACAGAUAAUGCAGAGAGAAAUUGUGUGUUUUGCAGAUCUUCGAAUCACCAACACUAGGGUGAGGGAAAAGAGAGACAGAGAGAUUCGGGCGGGUUCUGGUGCGG